rnacentral:rRNA from 1 species
GAUGAACGCUGGCGGCGUGCCUAAUACAUGCAAGUCGAGCGAACGGACGAGAAGCUUGCUUCUCUGAUGUUAGCGGCGGACGUGUGAGUAACACGUGGAUAACCUACCUAUAAGACUGGGAUAACUUCGGGAAACCGGAGCUAAUACCGGAUAAUAUUUUGAACCGCAUGGUUCAAAAGUGAAAGACGGUCUUGCUGUCACUUAUAGAUGGAUCCGCGCUGCAUUAGCUAGUUGGUAAGGUAACGGCUUACCAAGGCAACGAUGCAUAGCCGACCUGAGAGGGUGAUAGGCAACACUGGAACUGAGACACGGUCAAGACUCCUACGGGAGGCAGCAGUAGGGAAUCUUCCGCAAUGGGCGAAAGCCUGACGGAGCAACGCCGCGUGAGUGAUGAAGGUCUUCGGAUCGUAAAACUCUGUUAUUAGGGAAGAACAUAUGUGUAAGUAACUGUGCACAUCCUGACGGUACCUAAUCAGAAAGCCACGGCUAACUACGUG